UUACGCCCAUUUCACGUUGAAACAUCGGCUCCCGUACGGUAGCCGAAGUUAAGCAACGUCGAGUUUGGUUAGUACUUAGAUGGGUGACCGCUUGGGAAUACCAGGUGCUGUAAG